AUGUAUAAUGUCACAGAGGCCGUCUGGUGUGAUGGGAAGAGCUCUAGGGAUCACAGAAUCCAAGUGGGAAUGGAUUGUAGAGGUCAUCCAGUCCAACUCCUCCUUUUACAGGGAGUUUUAGAAAGGAAAAAAGGAAGAAGCACUUAUAUAAAAUCUACUAUAUUCCAGAAUAGGUGGCAGCAUGGGAUGUUGCUGAACUGGAAUUCGAGUCAGGGGUCCUGGGUUCAGAUUCUGAUUCUGCCACUUGCCUUCUGUAUGACUUCAGAAACCUAG
rnacentral:lncRNA from 1 species